GCUAGCACACCUACGUCGGGCCGACGUUGGCUUUGCAUCGGCAACCGCCGGCAAUAUCGGCAUCGGCAAACUGCAGCGGUCCGCUGUCAGGCCAAUGCUGGUGAUUGGCACUGACAUUGAACCUGAUAUAUGAUUUGAUCUUGUUAUGAUAACAUAAAAGAAAAAAACACAUUUGUCGAUUACAAUGUGACAAAUAAUAGAUCAAGUAUAUUUACGAAUAAUACAAUAAUUCUAUUCGAACUCAAAAUAUUAACUUUAUUUUUAAAUUUUAAAUUAAAUAGAUCAAGCACAUUCACUGACCAUUUUGGCUGCACAUAUACAACAGACAGAGAAGAUACAGACGGGAUUCGUCACAUCUUACAAUUCAUUCAGCAAAUUACAUGAUAUUGGCAAAAGUUUGGAAUAUCGCGAGCGGUUAUGUUACGUUGAUCCAACGUUUUCACAACAUGUUUCCAAGGGAAGCUACUCUUGUUAUAGAGGGCGCUGUUACUCACGCGCGUCUUUUCAAGCAGACGACGAAAGGAUGAUGCGUGGAGGGCUGAGGGAAAACCUAUUUUGCGGUAAGUGUUUACUUCAUUACUGUAUUUACGAGGUGUUUAUUUCAUUUUCAAACCUUACAAUUGAAACGAGAAACAGUGUACAUUUAUAAGUGUCAACGUGAAGGGAGAAAUCUAGGCCUAUGUGUUUUGGAGGUUCGAGAAACACACUCCUGUCAAUUCUACGUCAGUGUCAAAAUCCGUGGAAUAUGUCGUGACACUGCAUCCUCACCAGAUUCUCUAUUUGUAAUUUUUAAACACCAUAUACAUAUUUCUAGCAAAACGCGGGGACAAGGGCAAAUACAAAACAUGACAAGAUAUGUUUUAUGUCCAUGUAGAUUCAGCGAUGUUCAACCAACGAGUCGCAAUCUCGGGGUGAGAGUAUUACAGCGGCAAGCAAAUGAAUAGCCAAACUUUUACUUACAUUAGUAUUUUUGAAUGAACAUUGCUUUAUUUGUCAUUGUCACAGGCGUAUUUGUUAAGUGUGGGGAUGGAUGAGGUUAGGAAAUUAAUUACAAACUCGAAUUUACAAGUCAAUUUUGUGAUUGCUGUCAGCGGAAAAAGCAGUGAACAUGAAAUUCAUAACGAGGCUUUCGGAAACUUUCAGCAUUGCGGGUGCAUGUCAUGCGAUCCAGCUAAUGUUUCCUACAUAUCGAUGAACGGAGCUUCACUGCCGAGUUUGGUUUUCGAUCACCAAAAGGUUGAAAUAAAAAAAAUAAAAAUAUGUUUUUAAAUGUCAUAGUUACUUGCGAAUUUUGAACUUUUUCUGGAUAAUGGGCGAAAUGAAAGGACAGCUCUUUUAGUAAACGGAUCACUGCGCAUUACAGGUGUGGGCAAUUUUAUCAAGAUCUGCUGGAUACCUUACAUAGACAUAUGCCUAUAAUCGAUCAGAAAUCUUAUACCGAUGUAUGGUAUCUGUAUCGAUCGAUUGAGGUUUUGAGAUAUGGCUAUUUCAGAAUGGAUUUUUAGGGGAUGUUUGUGUUUUGUUUUUUUUGGGGGGGGUAUGGUAGUCUUAUCUAGUUAAGUAAUUUAUGAUGUACAUUUUUGAUGAAAUACUGAAUUAAAAUUUUUUAAAUGUACUAUUUCAAAGGUAUGAUGCUAAAUAUAUAAUCCAAGACAAUUUAGAAUGUCAUUUAUUUAAUCAAAAUUCAAAUUUAUGGUAAAACUGUGAUGAAGAUACUUCAGUACAGAUUUUUCAGGACAUUAUCCAUUGUAGAAAAACACCCACAGCCUUGUUUCAAAUUUGAUUUAUUCUGAAUAAAAAAAUUAAAUUAAAUUAAAUUAAAAAUUAAAAUUACUUGUCCCCAAUACUUUCCUGCUAUUUUUUGCAUACAAGUGUUUGUAAUAUGUACAUACCUUUGUAUCUGAUCUUUUAAUGAUAAACGUUUAUUUGCAGUUUUGGUUAACCAUGAUGUAAUCUACAUAUAUUUUGGCAUCAUAUAAUAAAUGAAAUCUGUUUUGUGGUAACCAGACUUCACAGGAUCUGUUCAACAUUAUGUCAAUAUGGGGAUUUUCUCACUGCUUUUCAAUGGAUGUGGCUAUGGCUAUUAACGUGAAACUACUUUCCCUGGGAAAUUAUUUCUGCUACAUGGCUCCAGACAAGGACUGUAUGUACAAGUGCAAAUAUAUGAGAUAAGAUGUAUGACUUAAGGAAAGGACCUGAUAUCUGUGUAUGGCCAAAGCUUUAUUUAAAUGUUACUUUUAUGUUUUGAGCAAUAUUCCCCUCAACCUCUUGACAUCAUCACCAUAAUAGCUACGUGCUCACUGCUGCUACACAAACUUGACAUAUAAUAUUCUUAUAUUUCUAUUUAAGAAAAUCAGAUGUUUAGCCAUUGCCUAUUGGCAAACAUGGAUGAGCUGAAUGAACUCUUAGCAGCUUUUCCAAAAUCGAGCAACUGAGAAAGAACUGAAGCUGAGGAGGAAGCCUGCAGCUGGGCUCUUACAAGCCACUGACAAGUACAUGGUGACCUGUGUAAAAGAAUGGCUUCGAGUUCCAGGAGCAAGGCUUAGAAAUGGCAUAAGGAAAACGCGUUCUGAAAAACAGAGAUGUAGAUAGAGAAUCUGCAAACGAAAGUGCUGAAUUGCAACGGAACAAAGAAAUCCAAAAUGUUGGUGUUGACAACAUAUUUUUCACAGGGUUAUGACCCUUGUUUUUGAACUUGGUACAUAUUCUGCCAGGUUCUCUUGGACACUACUGAAGUUAAUAAAUGAAACUUUCCGUGCUUACCUAAGGUACAAACUCCAGAAGAUGGUUAUAACUUAUAAGAACUAAUUUUGUAUGGAGUUAUGGCCUUUGCUUCAUGCUAUUUUAGGGGGGGGGGGGGGGGAGUUUGUCUUGCAAACGAAUUUGAAACCACAUAAAUGAAAUUUUGCAGGCCAAUAGGAGGGGUAUAUGUUUAGACUGUGUUUUAAAACAGGUUUUGAGAAUAUAUGUUUCACAUCCGCCUUGUUGCAGGUAGUAACACUGUUUUCUUGUAAAUAAUAAUUAAUUAAUAAUAAAGUUUAUUAUUCUA